CCUACGGGCGGCAGCAGUGGGGAAUAUUGGACAAUGGGCGAAAGCCUGAUCCAGCCAUGCCGCGUGUGUGAAGAAGGCCUUCGGGUUGUAAAGCACUUUCAGUGGGGAAGAAAGCCUUGGGGCUAAUACCCUCGAGGAAGGACAUCACCCACAGAAGAAGCACCGGCUAACUCCGUGCCAGCAGCCGCGGUAAUACGGAGGGUGCGAGCGUUAAUCGGAAUUACUGGGCGUAAAGCGCGCGCAGGCGGUCUGAUAAGCCGGUUGUGAAAGCCCCGGGCUCAACCUGGGAACGGCAUCCGGGACUGUCAGGCUAGAGUGCAGGAGAGGAGGGUAGAAUUCCCGGUGUAGCGGUGAAAUGCGUAGAGAUCGGGAGGAAUACCAGUGGCGAAGGCGGCCUUCUGGACUGACACUGACGCUGAGGUGCGAAAGCGUGGGUAGCAAACAGGAUUAGAUACCCCUGUAGUC
rnacentral:rRNA from 1 species